CAGAUCUGCCCGAAGUCCAGCUCUACCCUGGGAGAUCUUGUGCUGGUUGCCUAGCAUUUCAGAGCUCCAGGCCCUCUCCUCUAACAUACAGGAAGCAGCAAUGCUGUGCUGUGGAGGCUCAGGCCCGAUUGGGCUGGGUAAGGAUUGGAGAGUGUCCUGUCAGCGAUACAAAGCUGAUUUCUAGCGAAGGACUGGAGGGAACGGUUGGACUCUACAGAGGAGAGAACACUGCGCUCUUUCCCAUCUAAUGAUUACCCAGCUGACACCGGGCCUGGGGAACGGAAUGCGUGAAAGAAACAGCUCCAUUUUAAUUUUGCUUAAGCACAAUUCUGUUUGGGACACCAAGACUGUGAGAAGAAUCUCUGGAAGGAGGCCAUGUAACAUGGCCAGUAACAUGCUGAGGUCCUAACCCCAGGUUCCUAUGAAUGUGACUGCCCUUGGAAGUAAGUUCUUUAAAGAUGUGAUCAAGGUGAGCCGAGGUCUAAGGGUGGGUCCUAACCAACACGACCGUGACCUUACAAGAAGCAGAGAUCAGGGUGCAGGCACACAGAGAGGACAACCCUGAGGGCACAGGGAGAAGACACUCCUGCAAGCCAAGGAGCGAGACCCUACUAGGAAGCUGCCCUGCUGAUCCUGUGACCUUGGACUUCCAGUGUCCACAGCUGUGGGACAAUCAAUGUCCGCAGCUCUGAAUCUGUGGUGGUUUGUUGCUGGAGCCCAGCAGACUCAUGACCUGGUCCUCAUUCUGCUCCAGUUACAUGGUUUCUCUGCCAUUCCUAGACACCCAGGGCACACUCCUGCCCCAGGACCUUGGCACAGGCUGCUGCCCUCUGCCUGGCUGCUCACAGCUCUGGUCCACCUGCUUCAGGUCUCCCUCAGAUACCAACCCCUCCCCGAAGCCUUCCCUGGUCUCCACCUCUGUCUCCUCCUGACUUCUUUUUUUGGCUCCUUUUCUGUCUCCCUUUUCACUAUCUUUUUUCACCAGAUGUGGCUUUGAGUGCAGUUUUAUUUGCAGGCCUGUCCCAGGAGUGGAACAAGGCCGCACCGUCUUAUUACUGCAUUGUUUUUGGUUGUUGAAUGAACAAACAAAGGCAUAGAGUGUGCUCCUCAAGCCAUGGAUGAACUUCUCCCUCUGCAGCAGGCAUCUUUGUCAUCUCCACCUGUGAGGAUACAAAGGUUAAGUGAGGAGCCCGGCGUCGCAUCUUCGUGGGCAGGAGACUGUGGAUGAGUAUCCCGGCAACCUGCUCCUGCAUCUUGGUCCUGAAUCCCCUCUGGCGCUGGAACAAAGAGCUUGGGCCUGUCCACUGCCAUGUACGGAAAUUCAGCCAAGGGUGGACCCUAGGUGGGACUUGGACUCUUCUUUUUUGCAAAGCAAAGAUUCCUGCCUAUACUUUAAAAUGAGGCCACAGCUCACAUCAGAUAUGCAUGUAUUUGGCUACAAAUUAAUUGGAAAUAAUUUGUAAACAUUUGUUUACAAAAUGAGUUGUUUCACGUGCGGCUAUGAUGUGAAGUAUUUCUAAGUGUGCAGGUAAUCUGUCUGUAGGCUUAGGAAUGCUUUCCAAAUCAGAAAACCUAACCUAUACAAUAUUUGAAAACAUG